GUGAACGCUGGCGGUAGGCCUAACACAUGCAAGUCGAACGGCAGCACAGUAAGAGCUUGCUCUUACGGGUGGCGAGUGGCGGACGAGUGAGGAAUACAUCGGAAUCUACUUUUUCGUGGGGGAUAACGUAGGGAAACUUACGCUAAUACCGCAUACGACCUACGGGUGAAAGCAGGGGAUCUUCGGACCUUGCGCGAUUGAAUGAGCCGAUGUCGGAUUAGCUAGUUGGCGGGGUAAAGGCCCACCAAGGCGACGAUCCGUAGCUGGUCUGAGAGGAUGAUCAGCCACACUGGAACUGAGACACGGUCCAGACUCCUACGGGAGGCAGCAGUGGGGAAUAUUGGACAAUGGGCGCAAGCCUGAUCCAGCCAUACCGCGUGGGUGAAGAAGGCCUUCGGGUUGUAAAGCCCUUUUGUUGGGAAAGAAAAGCAGCAGGUUAAUACCCCGCUGUUCUGACGGUACCCAAAGAAUAAGCACCGGCUAACUUCG
rnacentral:rRNA from 1 species